rnacentral:snRNA from 2 species
GGCCUUAUGCACGGGAAAUACGCAUAUCAGUGAGGAUUCGUCCGAGAUUGUGUUUUUGCUGGUGUAAAUCAGCAGUUCCCCUGCAUAAGGCU